rnacentral:rRNA from 1 species
AACGAACGCUGGCGGCAUGCCUAACACAUGCAAGUCGAACGAAGUCUUCGGACUUAGUGGCGCACGGGUGCGUAACGCGUGGGAAUCUGCCCUUGGGUGCGGAAUAACUUCUCGAAAGGGAUGCUAAUACCGCAUAAUGUCGUAAGACCAAAGAUUUAUCGCCCAAGGAUGAGCCCGCGUAAGAUUAGCUAGUUGGUGGGGUAAAAGCCUACCAAGGCGACGAUCUUUAGCUGGUCUGAGAGGAUGAUCAGCCACACUGGGACUGAGACACGGCCCAGACUCCUACGGGAGGCAGCAGUGGGGAAUAUUGGACAAUGGGCGAAAGCCUGAUCCAGCAAUGCCGCGUGAGUGAUGAAGGCCCUAGGGUUGUAAAGCUCUUUUACCAGGAUGAUAAUGACAGUACCUGGAGAAUAAGCUCCGGCUAACUCCGUGCCAGCAGCCGCGGU